GUGCCCGCUGCAACCAAUCCUUCCUCGACUUGCUGUGAGCGACGUAGCUGCGGCGCGCUGGUGCCCAAUGACCGCGAUGAACUCUAGAGCCCGCCCACCCUGCUAGCCAAUAAGGUCCAGGGAAGCAGAUGUUGCGCAUUGAGAUUGCACCUGGUCUGAAUUAAACAGCGAACUGGAGACUUCACCGAGCCGUCCUCGCCCCGCUCUGAGCCUGUGAUCGGGAGCUCCGGCCUCCGAAUCCCGGGGAAGUCCGCGCGGGCGAGGCCGGGACCGUGCGAGGGGUCGGGUCCCCCACGCGUGCACCGAUCGCAGGGCAUUGCUCAGUUUCACGCCACAGCCCGGUGAUGGUGGGCGAAACAGCUCCACCACUUGUUUCUCUUGCGAUUUUAUUUUUUGCCUCCAUCGGUCCCCCAAAUGGUGACGGAGGCGCAGGCGACGCGGGAAACAUUGGAUUUUUCAUUGGAAAACGUGACAUGGGCUUCGUGGGCGGAGCAGUGUAUGAAAAGGAUUUUGGUGUAGUACUGCCAAAUUGUCUUCCAUGGAACUUUUACUAAUUUACUCUCAUCUGCUGCCAGGCAUGGUGGGGCACACCUGUAAUCCCAGCACUCAGGAGGCUGAGGCAGGAGGUUCCCCCAUCUCAAAAAAGAAGAAAAGGAUCUGUUUGAUAGCACAUUAAGGGUGUGUUCACGUCUUGUUUUUUGAUAGUGUAACUGGUAUCUCAUUGCAAUUUUCAUUUUCAUUUCUUUUAUUGUAAGGUUAGCAUCUUUUAAUGUUUAAGAGUCAAUUGUAUUUUUUGUAAAUUAUGUUUAUAUAUUUUGUUUAUAUUUUUACUUGUUUUGAAUCUCUCUUUAAUACUUUGAAUCUCUCUUUAAUACUCCUACAGUUUGUCCUAUGUCAUUUUAGUUUGUUUAGGGUAAUGUUUUUGCUCUCUACAAAGUUUUUUAAAAAUUCGUUUGUAGCGUCUUUCUGUAUUUGUAAAUACUUGACUUAUCUGGAAUUUAUUGGUGUGACAAGUCCAACUUUGUUUUAUCCUGCUGUUCUUAUUUAAUGAUACUUAUUUUCUCCAUUUUUAAUGCUAACUUUGUAAUCUCCAAAUUUUUGCUACCUUUAUAAUAUCCAAUUGUCAGAUUUUUAGUGCUACCUUUAUAAUAUCAAAUUGUUGAGUCUGUUUCUCAAUUUUCCAUUGCGUUCCAUUGAUCUAUUCACUGCCAUAUUAUUUCUCAAAAUUGCACAUGUGGUUUUAUUUGUUUUAUUUUAUUUUAUUUUAUUUUGGUACCAGGGAUGGGACUCAGGACCUUGCACUUUCCAGGCAGGCACGGUGCCACUGAGCUAAAUCUCUGACCCUGCACAUGUGUUUUUUUUUUUUUGGUACCGGGGAUUGAACUCAGGUUCUUGCAUUUGCGCAGCAGGCAGUGAAACCACUGAGCUAAAUUCCUAGGCUCUGCACAUGUGUUUUCAACAUAAUUUGACAAACUAAUGUAUAAUGUAUAUCCAGAAAAAUGCAAGGAUAAAACGUGUACAUCUUGAUGAAUUUUCAAAAAUGGAAUACAUUUGUGUAACCAACACCAGAUUAAAAAAACAAAACCAGGGCUGGGGAUUUAGCUCAGUGGUUCCACCGCCUGCCUCGAAAGCACAAGGUCCCGAGUUUGAUCCCUGGUACCAAAAAACAAAACAAAACAAAACCAGAAUCCUGCCCAUGCUGCAGCUGCUCUUGUGUCCUCUUCCAGUUACUACUCUCCUCCAGGGUGGCCGGUUUUCUGACUCCUAAUCCUGUAAACCAGUUUCCCUGAUGUAUACGUACGGAGAGAAUCAGAGUGUAUACGCUUUUGUGUCUCAUUUCUUUUGCUAAAAUUAUUUUGAGAUCAAUCAUGUUUGUAUCAUUUUAGGGUGUUCAUUUUUAUUACUGUUUACAGUGAAAAUAUACCUCACUUCACUUUUCUAUUCUACUAUUAAUGUUAUUUUGAUUGGGAUCAUAUUCUUUUAGAUUACUUAAGGGAGAAUUGUCUUUAUGAUGUGGAAUCAUCCCAUAAGUUUUAGUCCUUGAUGUCCCAUCAGUAGUGUUUUAAAUUUUUUAUCAUGUACAGUUUCUUGUACAUGUUUCUUGUUAAGAUUAUUCCUAGGUAUUUUGAGUGUCCUGAUUGCUAUAGCUAUUUUUACUUUAAAAAGGUAACAGAGUGAUUAAAUCUAAGAAAUAAUGUCCAGUAGUGCUAUAAAAGGCACAGAAUUACUUUAUAACCCUAUCAUCUUCUGACUCCAGUGUGAGUCGCAGUGGACAAAAAAGAGGAAAUGAAAUGGAAAUUUAGAAUAGGAAUUAAAUAUUAAAAUCACAGGCUGGGGAUUUAGCUCAGUGGUUUCGUUGCCUGCUGCACAAGUGCAAGGACCUGAGUUCAAUCCCCGUUACCAAAAAAAAAAAAAAAAAAAUCACACCAGGGCAGUGAAAAGGAAGAUGGAUCUCUUUUCUUGGAAAUUUUAGAGAAGAAGGUUGAUGUCUUAACUGGAUGGGUAGGGAGAUUGGGAACUAGAAGGAAUAACUUUAGAUGGAAUGAUUCUAAACUCGCUUUCAAUUCAUCAUGCAUUUGGGGUUUCUCAUCUUAUUUCCCCUCUAAGAGCCCAAACCAAAAUUGAGAGAUUGAAUUGUGAGAUGCUGGGUUGGGUGAAUUGUGAUUUAUUCUCCUCUCCAGUUCCUAAACAUUUAUUCCCUUUCUUUGGUGUAUGUGUGAACAGGCUGCAGGAGGCAGCAGGUGAAAUCAGUUACCAUCAGGCCUGGGAUUCCCAGGGCCUCCUUCACUGAGCAGGUGUUUGCACUCAGCCAGAUCAGGAGUAGACUUGAGCUAGGGCCUGGGCGGGAGAGGUUCUCAGACACAGUGGCCCUGACUCCAGAGCCUUGGCCACUCAGAGUUCCUCACAUACAACAUACGGGUCACUGUGUGAAUAAUAUGCAGUUGUCUAUGUCUUUGAAAAGCAGGAGUUAUCUCUUCUUUUACGCAUUGUAGGGGUCACUUUUGCUCCCGGUGAAUCAAGACUCUUCACCAGAAACCAGAAAUGGGAGCAGGGUCAUAAGCUAUGCUGGUUCCAUCUUUAGAUCACACUGGUGAAUUGUGCCCAGAGUUCCAGGACGAGAUUCUCCUCAGCCUCUCCAGCGCCCACCAUAGGCUCUAAGUCUUCCAGGCUUCACCUCUCGAAGGCGUCCCAGGAAAGCCAUGAAGGUGAAGAGAGGUGGUAGUGGAGAGAAACCCUGCAGGCAUCUCCGUGAGAUGUGAAUGCUUCCCGAGUGAGACUCUGUCUCCCAGGCAGACCCCAGUCCUUGCCCAAGGUCAUAGUUUCUGCAGCUGUACUGUCCAGUCUAGUGGCCACAUGUAAAUGUGACUGGAGAAUGGAAAUUUAAAUUUAUUCAAUUUCAAUUAAUUUAAAAUCGAGAACAGACCCUUGAUUCAGUUAUGGGAAAACUUUGAA